AAGAAGCCUCGCAUAAUGGAGGUUCAGCAUUGUGAAAAAGCCACCACUUAAACAAUGGCUUAUCUUCAACCAUUGAUCUUCUAUAUUUUGGUCUUGCAAUAUUCUGGCUUAUUCCCCCCCCCCCCCUUUUCUCUUUAGAUAAUGUUAAUGAUAAGGCUACUUUGUCACUAUACUAUAAAACACUGGAAAAAUUGCAGUGAAAAGCUGAGAUUGAAUGAGGAGAUAAUCAACAAAUGCUAUACUACUGGAUUUCGUUAUAAGCUUCUGCUGCAAUAAGCUAACGAGACUGCACAUCUGAAGCCACCUCAUGAAUAUGUACCAUGGGUGGUGGUGAAUAAUCAGCCACUCAGACAAGCGAGUUUGUUCAUUUCUCUCUUGGUGUCAUUGUGAAGUAAACAUUUUGUGACAAGUAACUUCAAUAUUUAUUUCACCGUUGUAGGACUUAGAAAAAUUUGUGAAAUAUGUGUGCCAAGCUUAUAAAGGAGAUCAUAAACCAGGUGCUUGCAAAGCACAAUCAUCCAGUCUCAGCUCAACCAUCCAUGCAUAAACCCAUCCGCCAGCAACUCCGGUUAUAGACUUCUACAAGCUGGCACUUCAAUUGCCUCCCUCAGCUGCUUGGCACUUCAAUUGCCUCCUUCAGCUUGCAGCUCUAGUCUGAACUCUAGAGCCCCAAUCCCAACCAAAUUUAAAAUACACGGAAUCUGAACACAAGAUGCUCAGGAGAAUCCAGUGCCCCUGUAUGAUGCAAGGAAUCCCCGCACCCAUCUGCAACCUAUUACAACAGCACAGGGACUUCAAGUACGCAUAGGUACAUUUAUCACCUAAAACUAUUAAACAAUUUAUCUGUCAUCUAACCAAAAUUUUGUUUUUUAUUUAAAAGUUUUUGUUGCAAAGUGAUCAAACUCUUUGGCAAGACUUACCCAUAUUAUGGCCAAUGUUGAAAUCGAAAGGGUUGUAUUGCUUGCCAAAUACAUAGGACAAUCGUGGUAAAUCUACGUAUGGAAAUUCUGUGACACUGGAUCCACUAUUGCACUGGCCGUAAAAUAAGCUUGAACAAUUUCGAAGUGUUCCAAGGAGAUGGGAUGGUCUCAACCUUCCAUAACAUAUAUACAUCUCCCUGAGUAGUAGAACAUUAGUUGAACAACUAAUGUUCUACUACUCCGAGAGAUGUAUACUUGUUAUGGAAGGCCGAGGCCAUCCCAUCUCCUUAGAACACCUCAAAAUUAUUCAAAUUUAUUUUACGGCCAAUGUAAUAGAGAAUCCAAUGUCAGAAAAUUCCCAUAGGUAGAUUUACCACUAUUGUCCUAUGUAUUUGGCAAACAAUACAACCCUUUCGAUUUCAAGUUUGGCCUGAGCAAGUCUUGCCAAAGAGUUUGAUUACUUUGCAACAAAAGCCUUUAAAUAAAUAAAAAAAAAUUUGGUUAGAUGACAGAUAAAUUACGUAAUAGUAUUAGGCGAUAAAUGUACCUAUGCGUACAUGAAGUCCCUGUGCUGUUGUAAUAGGUUGCAGAUGGAUGCAGGGAUUCCUUGCACCAUACAGGGGCACUGGAUUUUUCAACUUUUCAAACAAUGUACCAGUUUGUGUUAGCUAGCAUUUUAAAUAGAUAACACCAUGAAUUGCUUUGUGUCUUCGUUAUUGUCUAUAUUGACUACAAUUGCAGCAUCUCAGUUGAGUAAUACGCCUGUCCUUGACUUUUGUGGUUUUUAUUUAAGCUUCGGAGCUUAAAAAGCCCUUAAGAGAAAAUGAAAAAAAAAUUAUAAUUGAAUUUUUGUAUUGAA